rnacentral:misc_RNA from 1 species
CCGACGGAAGCAAGCUUGUCCCAGUAGGCACAUCGCGUCACCAGCGUCAAGCUCCCUCUGCGUCGGGAAUAGCCACAACGGCAAUCACAGAUGAAGUCGCAAGUCCAGAGAGAAACUUCAACCCGCGAGAUAAAUUGUUGCGCAUCGAUAUCUUGCACAUUGCCUAAAGAAAGCUUUGAAGGAAAAAAAUUAAAAAAAGGUUUCCGCAUAGGGUCCUGAGACAGAGAACCUUGUAUUAAAACGGCUUAUCCUAUGCGGAAAUAGAAGUGAGGAGCGAGAUAAACAGUUGGGUUAGAAGCGUAGUAACUAUAGUGCACUGAUAUGCAUGCGUUUGGUCUUCUGCUUUAUAUGUAUGCACAUUUGCAAACCAUGGUGUAGUUAAAGGUCGGGUUCAUGGCAGGGAAGGUGUAUUGUAGCGUUUAUUGUCGCUCUUUUAUUGCCCAGUGGCGUACAUAAUUUCUUUGCAUUACCAGCUUACUGGUGACGUUUGAGUGCGUUAACAUGGAGGUCUCGGUGACCCAGUAUUAAUGCUUUUUAAGUGGCCCCAAGUAUUUAUCGCACGCGUGUCUACACUGGUGCUUGUGGCUUUCUUUCUUCCUCAUAACC